CAGCCCCCAGCAGUGGGCACCCAUGGGGAUGGACCCAGGAGUGGAGGAUGACCCAAUAGGCUUUUCCUGCCAAGCUGCUGCGGUCACCCUAGCACCCUCUUGCGGCCCCGCAGGGGUCCCUGACCCCCACUUUGAAAACCACUGGUUUAGGCUAUGCAAGUGGUGGGUAGCCACCCAUGCACGUUGACACAGCCAGCAGCGAGUACCCAGGGCGAUGGACCCAGAAGUGGAGGAUGAUCCAAUAGGAGUGCUGGAGCGAUAGGGGGCCAAUCAUCUCUAAUUGAGAGCCUUAUAAAGACUCUGGGCGGCUCCGACUCACUCUCUCUCUCUGGAAUCUGGCUUCUUCAGACCACAGCCCUGAUGGCCACACUGAGAAUGCAGACGAUGGUGGUGGAAUUAAUAACCUGGAUCAGGAGUCCUCUGACAGCAGAUCUGAAUGGGCACCUGAUGGUGAAGACAUUACAUGUGAGGAAAAGACACAUACUAGAGGGAGUCGAGGACUUGGCUGGCCUACAAAAUGUCACUAAGGGAUGCAACUGACAGCUGAAGUAGGAUCUUUUUUGUUUUUUGGCCAUGACAAUGCUUUGACAGUUGAUAAUAAACUGAUAAUUACGAUA